GUGAGGAAUAUUGCGCAAUGGAGGCAACUCUGACGCAGCCAUGCCGCGUGCAGGAAGAAGGCGCUACGCGUUGUAAACUGCUUUUAACCGGGAAGAAACCCCAGGACGUGUCCUGGGUUGACGGUACCGGAGGAAUAAGCACCGGCUAACUUCGUGCCAGCAGCCGCGGUAAUACGAAGGGUGCAAGCGUUAUCCGGAUUCAUUGGGUUUAAAGGGUGCGUAGGCCGAGCGUUAAGUCAGUGGUGAAAUCCUGCAGCUUAACUGUAGACUUGCCAUUGAUACUGGCGCUCUUGAGUGCGCUUGAAGUGGGCGGAAUGUGCCGUGUAGCGGUGAAAUGCUUAGAUAUGGCACAGAACACCAAUUGCGAAGGCAGCUCACUAAGGCGAUACUGACGCUGAGGCACGAAAGCGUGGGGAUCGAACAGGAUUAGAAACCCCAGUAGUCC
rnacentral:rRNA from 1 species